UGAAUUUGUCUCAAUACUAUAUACAAAAAGGGCUGUAAUUUCUAAACGGUUCACCCGACAUGGAUGAAAAUACCAUCACAUUAAAGCUGACAGUCUGCACUCUACCCCCCUAGUCAUUGUUUGAUUUCAAAUCCAAACUUUUGGAGUAUAGCAUACUUUGUUUACCUGCUCAUCCAUCACACUAUUGUUGGAAGUUAGCGAAGGGAUAAACAUUGAUAGCUUGACCAUGAUAGUGCUAGGUUACCCCCUGAUAUGGCAUGUAGGAAAGAGUUCUGAGGCGUGCCCUGGAAGUAAUGCCAAUACAGAGUCAAUGGAGGGUGGUUGCCAGGACAACCGUUAGAGAGCCACCAACCCUUUGAGCGAGAGGCUCUGUGCGCAUAUUUUAGUGUAGUGAAAUUCUUCCCAGCAGGGAUUGAGAAACAAGUGCCUUUUAUAUAGGAAGAAGUGAAAGGGUAACUAGAUGAGACACAAGUUCAUGUCUAUAGGGAAUCCGGGGUUAUUUUCAUUCCUCAAAAUGUGUAAUUUAAGUAAGACACCAAGAAUUCAAAAUGUCUUAACAUACACAGAAAAAAAGACAAUGAAUGUCAGAAAUGGACUUAGACAAAUUGUUAGUUGUCAACACUGAUUGUUCCACUGAGACCUAGGAAAUAUGAGUCAUCUGGGGGAUUUUCUGGUGUGGCGGUGUGUCGACAACAUCCCCAUGCGAUCCUCAUCAGCCUCGAAAGAACGUCUAGAGAUCAAAACUGCAGUUGGAGGCUGGAGGUUUGUUUCCCGCCCCUUGACAAUAACUGCGAGCACAAAACACCCCACUUGCACGUGUAUUGCGUUCUGUUGACAUGGCAACGAGGUGUUCCAUGCAGGAGCUGGGUUGCCAGGUAACGGCUGGGUUAUGUGCGUGGGUGCAUGAAGGUCGUUGGGUGUGGAGUAGGGCGUAGGAGGAUUCACAGGCUAGUACACCAAAAGGACAGGCAGGGGGGUUGGAGUGAGUGAAAUCGCUCCGAGAGUUACCAGACAACAGGCACUGAUUGAGUUAGCUGAGCUUGAGCAAGAAAGCUAAUGCUGAAGCUAGCUUAGUGACCAACUGUAGCAAAAGUGGCCUUGGCUAACAACCUUUUUGUGCCUUUCCGAAAGGCUACUAUUUUGAGUAGACUCCUUGCUUUGAUGAAAUGAGGAAUGAACUGCUGUGAAACUAUACCUAAAAGCUUGAAACAGCUAACAUGCUCUAACAUGCCCUGAAGCCAAUGAGCAAAAUGUUAGCGCUGUCAAGUAUUACACUUGGCUAUGUAACCGUAUUAACCAACACAGACACACCUGUAGGUCAAAUUCUUUCAGUUCAGGAAAGAUGAAGGGCAGUGACAACGGAAGGGAGGCAGUGACAACGGAAGGGAGGCAGUGACAACGGAAGGGAGGCAGUGACAACGGAAGGGAGGCAGUGACAACGGAAGGGAGGCAGUGACAACGGAAGGGAGGCAGUGACAACGGAAGGGAGGCAGUGACAACGGAUGGGAGGCAGUGACAACGGAAGGGAGGCAGUGACAACGGAAGGGAGGCAGUGACAACGGAAGGGAGGCAGUGACAACGGAAGGGAGGGAAUACCCUUUGACCCGGCCUUGGUGCCGCUGAAACUUAGUAUCCAUUAUGGAUCCAUCCUGACCCGAGCUACAAGACACACACAAAAUACACAAUACACACAUACCACAUCACCCGAGUAGGGUUUCCGGAACUUUCCCUGGCCUUUGAGCCCUGUGACGCAAACAGCCGGGCUAGGAGGGCCUAUGCCCCACAUCCAAUCAAUCAAAACGAUGCAGCAAAGCUAACUGACACGGCUGUGCAUGGCGUUAUCAGCUGACCAACUGUCUCAAAACACAUACACACACACACACACACACACACACACACACACACACACACACACACACACACAACCAGCCUCAGCUACAUGACCUUCUGUCUGUAACUCAUAACCGGCUCCACCCCCUUUUCUCAGAAAUUGUCCUUCGACCAAUGAGGUUCUCACAUGUUUAAUUAUCCAAUCUCAGGCCACCAAUUAUGCUGUCAG
rnacentral:lncRNA from 1 species